rnacentral:lncRNA from 1 species
AAUAUCUAUCUUCCAAACUUCAACCAGAGCAACCAUUUUGAGCUAUUAGAUCUAAGUCUUACAAAUCUCUUUGGAGCAUUGCCUAAUUCCAUUGGCAAUUUAGUUUCAUUGAAAGAUUUGGAUCUAAGUGGCACAUCCCUCUCUGGAGCAUUGCCUAAUUCCUUUGGCAAUUUAGUUUCAUUGAAAGAUUUGGAUCUAAGUUACACAUCCCUCUCUGGAGCAUUGCCUAAUUCCAUUGGUAAUUUAGUUUCAUUGGAAUAUUUGGAUCUACAUUACACGUCGCUCUCUGGAGCAUUGCCUAAUUCCAUUGGCAAUUUAGUUUCAUUGAAAGAUUUGGAUCUACAUCAGACGUCCCUCUCUGAAGCAUUGCCUAAUUCCAUUGGCAAUUUAGUUUCAUUGGAACAUUUGGAUCUAAGUUUUACAAAUCUGUCUGGAGCAUUGCCUAAUCCCAUCCGCAAUCUACGAUCUUUGAAGUAUUUGUCUUUAUCAGGGGCUCCUCUAUGUCCAGGUUCACUUAACUUAAUCCGUAACCUAGUUUCCUUGGAGGAAUUGCAU